rnacentral:rRNA from 1 species
AACGACUCUCGGCAACGGAUAUCUCGGCUCUCGCAUCGAUGAAGAACGCAGCGAAAUGCGAUACUUGGUGUGAAUUGCAGAAUCCCGCGAACCAUCGAGUUUUUGAACGCAAGUUGCGCCCAAAGCCKUCMGGCCGAGGGCACGUCUGCCUGGGUGUCACGC